rnacentral:lncRNA from 1 species
UAAUGUCGAUAAUAUAGAUAUAUAUAAAAUAUGUUCGAUAAUGUUAAGAAUGAUUGGUCAGUUAGUGAUAGGGGGUUCUUGUGAGCGUGAGGUUAAGGAUUUAAAUCCCCUUAGCCUCCAAUUAUCUUCAAAAAGGUAAAAAAUAAAAAUAAAAAAACAAACAAAGGUGCAUUUAAGUAUAGGAGAUUCCCAAGAGUGCAAAGUGUGUUAGGCUAGGCUGGGCUAGUUGGUGCGAGAAUGUAGGCUGGAGACUUAGCCCAUUGUAAGAUUUUUGAAAAAAAGAAAAAAAA